AAUCAACGCUGGCGGCGUNCCUAACACAUGCAAGUCGAGCGCGAAAGGGGAGCAAUCCCCAAGUAGAGCGGCGAACACGGGUGAGUAACGCGUGGGUAAUCUACCUCCGAGUGGGGAACAACAGCGGGAAACUGCUGCUAAUACCGCAUGACAUCGUCGAGCUUUCGGGCAUGACGAUCAAAGCCGGGGACCGCAAGGCCUGGCGCUUGGAGACGAGCCCGCGUCCGAUUAGCUAGUUGGCGGGGUAAUGGCCCACCAAGGCUUCGAUCGGUAGCCGGCCUGAGAGGGCGGACGGCCACACUGGGACUGAGACACGGCCCAGACUCCUACGGGAGGCAGCAGUGGGGAAUUUUUCGCAAUGGGGGAAACCCUGACGAAGCAACGCCGCGUGGAGGAUGAAGGCCUUCGGGUCGUAAACUCCUGUCGACCGGGACGAACGCUAUAGGGCCCAAUACGCUCGAUAGUCGACUGUACCGGUGGAGGAAGCCACGGCUAACUCUGUGCCAGCAGCCGCGGUAAUACAGAGGUGGCAAGCGUUGUUCGGAAUUACUGGGCGUAAAGGGCGCGUAGGCGGUCCCGUCAGUCCCUUGUGAAAUCCCCCGGCUCAACUGGGGAACUGCAAGGGAUACAGCGGGGCUUGAGUUCGGGAGAGGGAAGCGGAAUUCCGGGUGUAGCGGUGA
rnacentral:rRNA from 1 species